CCUACGGGAGGCAGCAGUGGGGAAUAUUGGACAAUGGGCGAAAGCCUGAUCCAGCAAUUCCGCGUGUGUGAAGAAGGCCUUCGGGUUGUAAAGCACUUUAGUGGGGGAAGAAACAGCUUGGCCACACCAAGCCUUGACGGUACCCCAAGAAUAAGCACCGGCUAACUCUGUGCCAGCAGCCGCGGUAAUACAGAGGGUGCAAGCGUUAAUCGGAUUUACUGGGCGUAAAGGGUGCGUAGGUGGCUAUUUAAGUCGGAUGUGAAAGCCCGGGGCUCAACCUCGGAAUUGCAUUCGAUACUGAGUGGCUAGAGUUCGGUAGAGGGCGGCGGAAUUUCCGGUGUAGCGGUGAAAUGCGUAGAUAUCGGAAGGAACAUCAAUGGCGAAGGCAGCCGCCUGGGCCUGGACUGACACUGAGGCACGAAAGCGUGGGUAGCAAACAGGAUUAGAUACCCUGGUAGUCCACGCCGUAAACGAUGAGAACUUGACGUUGGUUCGUUUUACGAAUCGGUGUCGCAGCUAACGCGAUAAGUUCUCCGCCUGGGGAGUACGGCCGCAAGGUUGAAAACUCAAAAUGAAAUUGACGGCNGAGACGNGCGAGACGACACGAGGGAGAG
rnacentral:rRNA from 1 species